CAUUACCGAGUUUACAACUCCCAAACCCAUGUGAACAUACCUAUCGUUGCUUCGGCGGGACCGCCCCGGCGCCUUGUGCCCGGAACCAGGCGCCCGCCGGAGACCACAAACUCUUGUAUUUAUACGAAUUAUCUGAGGAUUUAUACAAAUGAAUCAAAACUUUCAACAACGGAUCUCUUGGUUCUGGCAUCGAUGAAGAACGCAGCGAAAUGCGAUAAGUAAUGUGAAUUGCAGAAUUCAGUGAAUCAUCGAAUCUUUGAACGCACAUUGCGCCUGCCAGUAUUCUGGCAGGCAUGCCUGUCCGAGCGUCAUUUCAACCCUCAAGCCCCCGGGCUUGGUGUUGGGGACCGGCCACCGCCGCAACUCGCGGCAGGCCGCCCCCGAAAUACAGUGGCGGUCACGCUGCGGCAUCUCCUGCGUAGUAACACACCUCGCAUCAGAUACGCUACGAGACCACGCCGUAAAACAACCCACUUCUGAAAUGUUGACCUCGGAUCAGGUAGGGAUACCCGCUGAACUUAAGCAUAUCAAUAAGCGGAGGAAAAGAAACCAACAGGGAUUGCCCCAGUAACGGCGAGUGAAGCGGCAACAGCUCAAAUUUGAAAUCUGGCCCUCGGGUCCGAGUUGUAAUUUGAAGAGGAUGCUUUUGGUGCGGUGCCUUCCGAGUUCCCUGGAACGGGACGCCAUAGAGGGUGAGAGCCCCGUCUGGUUGGAUGCCAAACCUCUGUAAAGCUCCUUCGACGAGUCGAGUAGUUUGGGAAUGCUGCUCAAAA
rnacentral:rRNA from 1 species